rnacentral:rRNA from 1 species
CGGUAAUUCCAGCUCCAAUAGCGUAUACUAAAGUUGUUGCAGUUAAAAAGCUCGUAGUUGGAUUUCUGCGGGGACGGAGCGGCCGGACGCAACUUGCGUCUCGAGCUAGCGCUUUCCCCACAUCCUGCCGCGAACCGUGCUACCAUUAGUUUGGUGGCGCUGGGGAUCGGCUCGAUUACUUUGAGAAAAAUAGAGUGUUCAAAGCAGGCCACACGCCUUGAAUAAGUUAGCAUGGAAUAAUGACUAAGGACUUUGGUUCUUUUCGUUGGUGUUCGGGACUGAAGUAAUGAUUGAUAGGGACAGUUGGGGCGGUCCGUAUUCCAAAGCGAGAGGUGAAAUUCUUAGACCUUCGGAAGACGAACAGCUGCGAAAGCGUUCCGCAAGGAUGUUCCCUUUGAUCAAGAACGAAAGUUGGGGGAUCGAAGACGAUCAGAUACCGUCGUAGUCUCAACUAUAAACUAUACCAGCUAGGGAUCGGCCAACGUUUAAUUAUUCGACUUGGUCGGCACCUUAUGAGAAAUCAAAGCAUCUGGGUUCCGGGGGGAGUAUGGUCGCAAGGCUGAAACUUAAAGGAAUUGACGGAAGGGCACCACCAGGCGUGGAGCCUGUGGCUUAAUUUGACUCAACACGGGAAAACUUACCAGGUCCAGACAUAGGAAGGAUUGACAGAUUGAUAGCUCUUUCUUGAUUCUGUGGGUGGUGGUGCAUGGCCGUUUUUAGUCGGUGAAGUGAUUUGUCUGCUUAAUUGCGUUAACGGACGAGACCCCAGCCUGCUAAAUAGCGCGGCCGAGCUUUGCUCGGUACGAGCUUCUUAGAGGGACCAUGAUGCGCGAUAGCACAAGGAAGUUUGGGGCAACAACAGGUCUGUGAUGCCCUUAGAUGUUCUGGGCCGCACACGGGCUACACUGGCGCCCGCAACGAGCAUAUCAGCUGGCCCGAGAGGGUCUUGGCUAAUCUUUGGAACCGGCGCCGUGCUUGGGAUUGACCAUUGCAAUUGUUGGUCAUGCAACGAGGAAUGCCUUGUAAACGCGAGUCAUCAGCUCGCAUUGAAUACGUCCCUGCCCUUUGUACACACCGCCCGUCGCUCCUACCGAUGAAUGUUCCGAUGAAAUUUUCGGAGAGCGCCGGAGAACGGGGCUCUGCCCUGCAGAACUGGAGGCUCAAAGUCACUUAAAUCUGAACAUUUCGAGGAAGGAGAAGUCGUAACAAGGUAGCCG